rnacentral:rRNA from 1 species
CGGAGGAUGCGAGCGUUAUCCGGAUUUAUUGGGUUUAAAGGGUGCGUAGGCGGCUUUUUAAGUCAGCGGUGAAAUUUUGCAGCUUAACUGUAACAGUGCCGUUGAUACUGGGGAGCUAGGAUUUGGUUGCUGUUGGUGGAAUGUGUGGUGUAGCGGUGAAAUGCUUAGAGAUCACACAGAAUAUCGAUUGCGAAGGCAGCUCACAAAGCCAAGAUUGACGCUGAGGCACGAAAGUGUGGGGAUCAAACAGGAUUA